rnacentral:lncRNA from 1 species
GACAGUGGCCUUUCCACAGCGCUAGACCAGGCCCCAAAGGGCCAGCGAGGGUCCGCGGGGUGCAGGACCAGGGAGCCACCUCUCUCUUCCGCAACCCGGCCUAGCCGAGGCUUGAGGGAGAGGGCGCUAAGUUCCCGGGGACCUAGGCCUGGGCAGGGGUAAGACCUGGAUGCCCAGACCGCUCCCCCGAGUCUCCUUCAGCCCCCCGGGGCGCUAUGCGGGAUAACGGCCGCCUUGCAGUCACCCUGCUGCGGAGGGAGCCCACGUCCAGCCAGCGACCCCGGGCCUCCUUCCCUGCCUCCUUCCACGUUCCCACCCCUGCCGAGAGCACCGCCCCAUUACUUGAUUAGGUCCCUGUAGUCCACGAAGGAUAAGAUGAGCAGCAGAGGGUCGGUGGGCAGCGACUCCAGGGUCAGCAGCCCCGUCUCGGCCUCUACGGCAGCCAUCUUGCCCGGCCCGCUGCAGCCUUGGCACCACCCCGGCCCCGCCCCCGCCCCCGCCGCCCGAACCGCUCGGCGGCCGCUAGCACAGGCUUCUAAACCUACUGGUCCCAGAGAAAGUUUCUUCCAACUACUUAAGUGUAAGAAAUAAUCAAAUGGGUUGUGUGGUGAGAGAGGCUUGGGAAAUCCAAAAGACGUCACAGGUCAGUCACUUACGUGGCUUGACUGUUCCAUGUUCCACUGGAUCCAUAACAGAGAAUCCGGAUGGCAAGCUGCAAAAAUUGGCAGGGGCCCUUCAGUGUGCUGUCGAUGUGUCUGGAAUUCAAAUAGUAGGAUGCAGAGAUGCCAUGACAAUGGGAAGCAAGCUUUACCUGGAGAAAAUGAUGCGGACAUGGCUGCUGCAACCCGUACUCACACACGGGGACCUUCGCAACCACUCUCCAGCGGUCCCCAUCAUGCCUGACUGCGAUUGCCCUUACUCAAGGGCAUUAAAUUAAAAAGUAAUGUAGCCGGUGAUUCUUUUUUUCCCCUAUCCUCCCCCCCCCUCCCCAUCCAGGCAGUGAAGAAUGGGGCAAGUAAAAUAAAAACCUUGACUGC